rnacentral:misc_RNA from 1 species
GUUUCAUGCUAAAUGUUUCAUUCAAUACAAAUGAUGAAACACUAUAGGCCAAGAACUAAGAUCUCUAAUUCUCCUUCCCUAUAAUGAAGGAAACUACACUACUUAUCCUACAAUCAAAGAUGAAGAUACUACAUUACAUCAGAGCUAACAAUCAAGUUAAACACAGAAAGGAUGAGUUCGAUUUUCGCCAAUGCUUACGUUGAGAUUGCAUGGAGUCAGCUGGAAAAAGUCGAAUUGAUUGAAAAGCCUCAUCGACUAGUUGUUAAGCGCUGGAGUUGAUAAAAGAUGGAAUUCAUUGACUAGCUUUUCUCCGGUUGCUAAAGCAUCUAAAUUUUCCACGGCGCAAGGAGAAUCAGAAUUUAUCUUGAUGCCUUUGCCAUAAGCAGCAAUGAGAAGAGCCUCAGCUCGACCAUGAUCUUUCUUCCUUUUCAAUGAAGAACUCAAAGAGGGAAACAAUGAAGAUGCUAGUUCCCUGCUAUAAUCCUUGUUUGAGCGUUCUCUUGUAAGUCGAAACUCACUCUUCCAUGCACUUGAUGGCACAGGAGUAACGGAAAAUCCGGAUGCAACUAACAAACCAAUCCAUAGUCCAUAGCCGAAUCCUCCACUCCACCAUCCCAUCUUGUGG